UUUUUUUUAAAUUAAAAUUAAAUUAACGGCCCGAAAACGGGAAUAAUAGUUUUGAUUACAAGACCGGCUCGAACAAAAUUACCCAAACCCGAAAUUUCCUAUCUAGUUUCGCUCAACCCAUGUCCCCGGCGCGUUCCACUAAAUAGAAUCCUACAUCGCUGAGCAUCGAUCACUGUUCUCAACCUUCAACGAGGACCGCGAGGAGGAGAGAUUCGCCUCGUUUCCUCGGUUGCCGGGGUCUCCUCACGUCGCUUCCGGUGUAGCUAGUUUUCGAUGAACUUACUAGUCUUGCAAUCUACACUAUCAAUGAAGCGCAAACGAAAAUAGCGGAUACGAGACGACUAGAGCUUACCAGAAGAUCAAUCGCCGAAAAAAUCCGCUACAACGCCAAGACCGCAUACAACAAAGACAACCACACGAUCACCCUUGCAUAGUACGGUAAGCAGAAAGACGGGUACGGGAAAGCAACCUCUUCUGAAUCAGGGAAAGCUCCAAACCUGCAAGUAGAUAGCAAACAGCACUACCAAGAAUUCAAGUGAACCCACGGUACUGGGAUGUGCUGUAAAGCCGCGAGGAGUCACUGAGGAGAAGGUGGAAACAGUUGACAAACUAGAACCACCAAAGCCCCAUCUCACGCCGACUUCGAGAACCGAAGUACAAGUAUCAAGCUGCUGUUAAAAGGCUAAGCCGGUGACUACGGAACAGCUGAACAAAGAACCAAGAGCUGAUAAACACACCGAGAGGACAAGUCGACUCAACCUCGCCGGUGAACCUGAGCUGAAGACGGCAGAAAGGAACAAAAGGAAGAGAGGAUGCGACAAUACCUCGGUGAAGCCAUAGACGACUCCAGCCGACACCGCAUCGCUGCAUCACUCCACGCACCACCACUGCUAACACCAACACACGCCGGCGUCGACAGCUAAGCACGGCCCCGAGCUAGGCUAAGCCUCCAAAGCUUCCAAGGCGAGGACUGAAAGGCUUCGACGCUUCAAGACGCCAGGAAGAAACGAAAACCCACAAACCACCGCCGCUCGAGUUACAAACCGGACAGGAGCAGCCACACGACUGCAGACCGGAUCUGAAGCCCAAACCGCCCACUCGCCACCACUCGCUACAAACCCUACAGACGGCAAAAGGGGGCCGAUUGCAAAACCCUAAAAAGCCGACUCCGCCACCGGAACCCACACCACUCACCGCCUCCGGGCUCCACGACCGAGCAGAACUGCGCCAGAACCGGAGCUCCUUGCGCACGGAGACGAGACCAACGAGACUCCCGACACACAACCGAGAAGAAAACGAAGAGGGAGACAAGACCAUGGCGAAGCAAAAGACAAACGAAGAAGGCGGAAGAAGAGAGGCGCCUCCGGCGUUGGCACGCGCUCGGACGCGCGGCCGGACGCCGGAGCUUCACUUAUAAUCGAUCGGACUCGAGAGAGAGUUUAGGUAGGAGAGAAAAACUC
rnacentral:lncRNA from 1 species